rnacentral:rRNA from 1 species
GAUGAACGCUGGCGGCGUGCCUAAUACAUGCAAGUCGAGCGAACAGACGAGGAGCUUGCUCCUCUGACGUUAGCGGCGGACGGGUGAGUAACACGUGGAUAACCUACCUAUAAGACUGGGAUAACUUCGGGAAACCGGAGCUAAUACCGGAUAAUAUAUUGAACCGCAUGGUUCAAUAGUGAAAGACGGUUUUGCUGUUACUUAUAGAUGGAUCCGCGCCGCAUUAGCUAGUUGGUAAGGUAACGGCUUACCAAGGCAACGAUGCGUAGCCGACCUGAGAGGGUGAUCGGACACACUGGAACUGAGACACGGUCCAGACUCCUAAGGGAGGCAGCAGUAGGGAAUCUUCCGCAAUGGGCGAAAGCUUGACGGAGCAACGCCGCGUGAGUGAUGAAGGUCUUCGGAUCGUAAAACUCUGUUAUUAGGGAAGAACAAAUGUGUAAGUAACUAUGCACGUCUUGACGGUACCUAAUCAGAAAGCCACGGCUAACUACGUG